GUGGUGGGGGUGGUGCAGAUCCAGAGAAGUUGGCGCUGCAUUGUUUGGGGAUGACAGCGCCCCCAGCAGCACGAAAGGGUCCCGACCUCCCAGAAGAGCAGGUGCUGACUGCCCAAGUCUGCAAGCAGCAGAGCCAUUGAAGGUUAUAACUAGAAUCCCGGUACCUGCUCGCGGGCAGUGCGCAGCACAGGGAUCGGAACGAGGGCAAAAAGCCACUCCUGGGCUCAGGCUAGAGAGGAUCUGCUCGGCCAGACUGCUACGCGACUGCGAUCAGGAGAAGGUUGCCGCAAACUCUGAAACCUUGACCUAUGGCGGGGACUGACUCAGCCGGGGCCGCAGAGGCCGUCGUGGGUUUGACCGCAGCUGAGAUGGGCGGAGAGACGGUCAUCGAGACCGGGAGAAAAAAAAAACGUCUGGCGUUGUAGUCUCCGGAAGGGAACUUCGGGGCACCCCUGCGCACCCACCUCGGCCGCCAGCCACCCUGACUCAGAUGCCCCACCCCCACCGUCAGUCUCCGGGUGGCUCAACCCCCGCCCCCUGCGCGCUUCCUCUCCUUCCUCACCGCACUCUAACUCCGAUCUCUCCAGCUUUCCGAACCCCGAGGUUCCCAGCCAGUUCGAGUGUCAGAGCCGAGAGGACCCAACUGGGGACCGAGGGGGUCUGACCGCGGAAAGCACGGGCUGCUGA